rnacentral:lncRNA from 1 species
UGCCGUCUAACAAACAUCAUCUGUAGGGGAGAACCAAACACCCUUAACGUUGCCUGCACUAUGCACACAAAACAUUCUUUAGAGAACAGGGAAGCGACCCAGUGGUAGGGUGGCGUAGCGCUGAUGCACCCAGGUCGACUACCGCUUGGAGGAAGAACCAAAUACUAUCCCCUUCCAAACGACCAAGGUUUAAACGAAAUCAAGGUCUGGAGUUGUCGACAACUUCAUCACACGAAAGGGACCAUAUAUGACGUAUCCAUCCAGAAGACCAAAGAUGACACGAGAACCUACCAACUGUGGUUGCUUGCAGAACUAUGGGUUCUUUUCUAACUUCAUCAGCACAAUUUAACUGUGGUCCAUCUCAGAAACAUCUUCUGCAAGGGUUACCAAAGACCCUUUACUUUGGUAGUAGCAGCACUGAUGCACCCUGGCCUGCUCCUGCUUGGAGCUAAUUUUCGAAGUAUAUCUCACCCGUUUGCUUCUCUUCCCUAAUAAAAAUACCUUUUUUUGUGGGGAUAAUAAAAAUACCCUUGCCUGCAUUUUAAAACAAAACAUUCAUCAGAAUGUGAAAAAUGUUGAGCACUUCAUCCUGCUUGCAACUGAUUUGGAAAGACCAUGUUGCACGCGUGUAAUGCCAUCCCGUCUAUUACACUACUCCAGUCAAUCAAAGAUGAAAUGAGAAAUCGUGAUGAAGGAUCUGCAUGCAGCCCGCUGAAAAGUAAAGAAAUGACAGAAAAGAAAAAGAAGAAGCUGAGUAAUGGGUUCAUGGUCUUCCUGGAAGAGUAGGAAAAUCGUGGUCCCCAGGUCCCCUGCCCUCAUACAUUCAUCAUGAAGGUUCAUGCUGAAAGAAGUAAAGAAUGUAGAGAAAGGAAAAGAAGAAGCUGCCUUAAGUGGCGUGGGUACCAGGUACUAGAAUAGAAGAACAAAUCCUUUUGCUAGCUGCUCACGGCACACACACAGAUAGACGUGUGCAUCGCAUUGCAUGCAAGGCCACACACCACAAGACGCAUGAACGCAUGCUAGGUGCUAGCUUAGCCUGCUUCUGCUACACCGAUCAAUCAAACUCUUGAAACACCGUCACACAGACCAGGCCGCCGGCGGCGGCGGAGGGAUUGAUCCAUGGCGGAGCUGGCGUCGGGCGCCGUGGGGACGCUGCUGGGCGUGAUCAGCCACGAGGCGCUUAGGCUCGGGCGCGUCCGGCACGACGUGCAGUUCAUCCAGGAGGAGAUGGAGAGCAUGGGCAGCUUCCUGGCGAACCUCUCCGGGAACAGCCGCGAGCACGACGAGCAGGUCCGCACCUGGAUGAACCAAGUCCGGAUCCUCGCCAAUGACUGCAACAACUGCAUCGACCUCUACCUCUACCGCGGGGACCCAGCACUCCACCUGCCCAAGGAAGGCCCCGGCCGCUACCUCCGGUGGGCUCCUUGGCUGGUGCGCAAGCUGCUCGCACAGCAUCGCGCCGCCGGCCAACUGAGGGAACUCAAGGACCGGGCACAAGACAUCGGCAACCGCCGAAUGAGAUAUGGUGUCGAGGUCAAAACGGAGUCAUCAUCUUCCAGGGCUGGGCUCACGGAGCCAUUGUUGUUGCCGGCACCACAAGACCAUGAAGACGAAGCAGACAUGGACAACGACCAAGAUGGGGUUGAUCCACUCAAGGUGGCCUUGUCCAUGACUAGCAUGAGGAUGGACAAGGAAGACUUCUUUCAAAGGAGGCUAGAUCAAUGGAUCGGAUUGGUGGUGCAAGUGAGGGCGGAGGCGGCGGAGAAACACAUAAAGUCGAAUGUGGCGGAAUCAAGGAAACUGGCAGCCGAAUCAAAACCAUUACUGCCUUCCAUCGCCUUUGUGGUAACGGAUAAUGAGGACGCCAACGCCAACGCUCAUGCUCUUGGGAGUAAAGCCCUGGAGGUGGCAAGAGCCUAUUUUGAGAAGGCAGAGGACAUCCAAGAUAAGGUUGUCCCGCCGGAGAUGAAGCAUGCGGGUGCCCUUACGCGUGAAGAUAAGGCGGUGCCACCCAAGAUUAAGGAUGUCGGCGCCCUUGCGCAUGAAGAUAAGGGUGUGCCACCAGAGAUCAAGAAUGUCGGUGGCCUUGCGCGUGAAGAUAAGGCUAUGCCACUGGAGACCAAGGAUGCCGGUGCUCUUGCGUGUGAAGACAAGGCUAUGCCACAGGAGAUCAAGGAUGCCAGCCCAGUUGUGCCACCGGAGAUCAAGGAUGCCAGCCCAGUUGUGUCACCGGAGACCAAGGACAACGGUGCCCUUGUGCAUGAAGAUAUUGUGGUGCCACCGGAGGUCAAGGAUGCCAACGCCCUUGUGCAUGAAGACAAGGCCAUUCCAUCGGAGACAAGGGAAGACGGUGCCCUUACGCAUAAAGACAAGGCCAUGCCACCAAAGAUCAAGGAUGCCGAUGCUCUUGUGGAUGAAGAUAAGGUGGUUGUGCCACCGGAGACCAAGCACAUCGGCGCUAUUCGCACGAAGAUAAGGCGAAAACCAAUGAGGCUCUUGUGCAUGAAGAUAAGGCGGUUGUGCCACCGGAGACCAAGGACGCCGGUGGUGCUGCCGGAGACCAAGGAUGCCAGCGCCCUUGUGAAUGAAGAUAAGCCUGUGCCACAAGAGAACAGGGACGCCAGUGGUGCCCUUGUGCACGGAGAUACAGCGGUGCCGCCGGAGACAAAGGGCACUGGCGCUCUUGAACACAAAGAUAUGCCCGCUGUGCCACCGGAGACCAGUGACGCUAACAACGCUCUUAUGCACAAAGAUAAGGUAGCUGUACAGGACACUGGAUAUGUUGUCAUCUUGGUCGACGUCCCUGAGGUGCACUAUGAUUUUAUAACACUACGACCCCACAAGAUUCUCUGCUACAUCAUGGCUGAGCUCAAGCGGCAGCAAGGCACAAAACAAGAUCCUCCUAAAACAAGAUGGGGCACUUACAAAUACACAAGGGACACAAUCCGUGAUAUCAAGCAACAGAUAGAUAAAAUGAAGGCCGACAGCAAGAUAAAUGACAUCAAAAUUUGCACUCUUGAGGAUGGUAUGAAGGAGCUGCCGGACCGGCAAAAAUUGCGCAAGGACGGAAUAGAUUUGGAAAAAGAAAUCUUGGGUAAAAACUUGGGCCAACUCCUCUGGUUGCUCAUCUACCAGUCAACUACUACUGCUGCAUCAGAAAAAGACAAAAAGAACAAAUCCAUGGUAGCAGAAUUGUAUGGUGCCAUCAUCAAGCAAACAGCCAAGGAGCUUAAAUGGAAAAUAGAAGGCGGUUCAAGCUCAGAGCAGCUGGAGGACCCCGAAUAUGAAGACAUCCUGUCAACGGUGUUCCCAAGGUCGAUCAGUACCACCAUCACCGCUGGCAAUAGUCCUCUUGGCACAUCGGUUGAUGAUGAAAUCAAAGAAAUGGUCAGAGGGGUUAAAGAAAUGCUGCACGAGUUACGGGAAUUAGAAAAAUCUGCCAAGAACCUAGAGGUGAUCCCGGAAGAUAAUUUUGAUGAAACCAGACAGCAGAAGAAGGACGAAAUCAUAACGGAGAUUAGGAACCGUCUCAAGAUCAAAAUGAUGGCGCAAAAGAUUAAAGAAUGUUUGAGAGGUGAUGAUCAAAGGAUCCUGGUCAUCCUAAAAGUUUAUGACAAGUAUAUACCCCAAUGGGAGGAGACCAGAAACACUUUGAGACCCCGAGGACUGGGGUGGUGCCCCAUCGCUGGUGCUGUGAUCGUGGCCACAAAGACCACUGAACAGGACACCAAGCAAUAUUUUGGCUGUCAAGAGCUGGAGCCUAUAGAAUAUUCUCUUGUUGGCCUCUACCUUGAUACUGUGCUCCAGAAUACAGGCCAGCAUAUGAAUGAUCAACCCAGCCGCCAGGUUCUACGCGACAUCUUGUGUAAGUGUGAGCCACAUGAAUUCUGCAUGAAGAUCUUUGCUCAUGCAUUGUACACCAAACCCAAGAGGAGCAGUGGAGAGCUGAGCAAGUUGAAUAGCACCUUGCCUGCCGGUGCCACACAAAAAUCAUUGCCCAGUAUGAUGUUCAAGUUCUCUUACAGGGAUCUGCCUAAAGAGUACAGGUCUUGUUUGUUGUACCUCGCUAUCUUCCCUGGAGGAAAAAUCAUCAGACGGUCAACCUUGGUAGGACGAUGGGUUGCAGAAGGGCUGAUAACCACCAAAGAUUGGCGCUGGUCCUCUUCAGUGGAUGAAGCCGAGAAAUGUUUUGAUACGCUCAUUGCCCGGUGCUUUGUUUGUCCUGCUGGCAUUGAUGCUACUGGAAAGGUCAAGAGCUGCACUGUGCAUAAGCUAGUUUAUGGAUUCAUCACCAAGAUCGCCAUGAAGCAGCGCAUUCUGGAGACAAGGCUGUCACAUCACUUGGCUCGGCACUUCUCCAUUUUCAGUGAUGUCCGUCUCCGCAGCUCUGAAACAAUUGAGAAUUUCUUGAAAAAUUCAUCUCAGUUCUCCAAGCUCAAGGUGCUAGAUCUAGAAGGCUGUGAUUGCUUCCCGCAGAACCAGCACUACCUGAGUCACAUAUGCAGGAAUAUACUAAUGCUCAAGUAUCUCAGCCUAAGGGGAACCGGUGUUACCAGGCUGCCCAGUGCAAUCAACAAUCUACAUGAGCUGGAGGUAUUGGAUAUCCGAGACACCGAGAUUCAUGCGUCUGCAACAAGACAUGUCCUGCUUCAAAAGCUGAAACGUUUCUUGGCUGGUCAAAAGCUGAAGCAUGUCUUGGCUGGUCAUGUCGAUUCAAGUCAGAGCAGUCCUAGUGACUCCCCCAGUGUCCAGAUGCCUGAGAUCAACAAAAUGGAGUGUGUGGAGGUACCGUGCAAUGUCAAGCCGAAGAAUCGUUGGAACCGUCUAUUGUCUGGUCAUGUUGAUUCAAGUCCUGCUGACUUCUCCAGUGUGCAGAUCCCUGAGAAGAUUGAAAAAAUGGUGGGUGUGGAGGUAUUGUCCAACGUUAAGCCAAAGAAUGAACAAGAUUUGAAAGAUAUUGGAGGUCUGAAUGAGCUGAAGAAGCUCGGUGUGGCUAUCAACAAGGAGAGUGACCUCAAGUCAUUGCUUAAUGCAAUCAGUGACCUCCUAAACCAGUCCCUCCGUUAUCUGUCAAUUACUCUUGACAUAAAUAUAUACAAGGUCCCUCCAUCAGAGCUGAGUCUGAAACAAAACUGCCCUGAUGUUCUUGAGAGACUAAGUAUAAAUGAAAGCACUAGCACACAAAAGGGGCAACUUCUUAAGAUAUUGGUUGGAAAGGGAAAUCAACUUGCCAAGGUGACUCUGACUGGUACCUCCUUGAGCCAGGAAGAUCUGAACAUCCUUGCCAAGCUUGAAAACUUACACUGUGUCAAGCUUCGACACAAUAAGUACGAUGAGAGCAAGCUCACUUUCAACAAGGGUGAAUUCAAAAAUCUCAAGAAUUUUCUUGUUGAGGGAAACAACAUGACUGAAAUCACAUUUGAUGAUGGAGCUGCUAGUAACCUUGAGAAGAUUGUUCUGUCCUCCACCAACAUAGUCUCUAUCAGUGGAGUCGGCUACCUUAAAAAAUUGGAGGAGCUCGAACUGAACAACAUCAAGAACAAGGGCAUAUUGCAUUCAUUACUUUUCAAUGCCAAACACAUAACCAGGCUGACUCUUCGUGAUACAUUGCUGGAACAAGGUGAUCUGGAAAUCCUCGCCCGCAAACGAAAGAUGCGCUACCUAGCACUCUUCGGGAAGUUUUACAAUGGCAGUCAGCUUAUCUUCAAUAAAGAUGAAUUCCAAAAGCUCAACUUUCUUAUUGUCGGCUCCUCCUACAUCACCGAGUUAAGCUUCACCGACGGGUCUCCUAAUCUUGAGAAGAUCGUCUGGUCAUUCAAGAAUAUUGUUUCAAUGUCUGGAAUCGACAAACUUCCUGCACUGAAGGAGCUGGAGUUGAAUGGUGACAGUGUCCCUAAUGAUGUUGAACAAGUCAUAAAAAAACUAAAGAAUAGGCUUGAGUACAAACACAAGGAUAAGCCAAAAAAACAAGAAGAAAAACAAGGUGGUCCUGCAAGAUGCCCGUCCUUGUGGAAGGCGAAGGAUUGGUGCUGGAGGAACUGAAGGCUUUCCCAUUACUUCUUCCGUUCAUCACCAAUUCCUGCCAUGGUAUGUGGUUGUGUGUGCUCAUGUGGUUUGCCAUUGUGUGUUUCCGUCUACUGAGUGUGCAUUUGUGUUCUGCUUGUGCCGAGUGAUUUGAGUGGUGUGGGUGUAUCCAGUUACUUGUCCUGACCUGCAUGUGUGGCUUGUGAUUGUGGUUGAGCAUAAUGGUUGUGCAUAUGCUCACGGGUCUGGAUUUGUGUGGCUUUCCACUGGACAAAAUGGUUCCAUGUAAUAAGUGCGAUGCUUGUACGCACAUUUGAUUUGUUAUUAAUAUAUAUACGGUUGUGAGCUAUAUCAUGCGCUUGGGUUCUGCAAUGACGAACUGGUGUAUGUCAUCAAUAUAUGUAAAAAUAACAAUGCAGCUACCAGCAGCAGUUAAUUAUAGACCUUGAAGUGGAGUUUUAUGCAGAUCAGAGAUUUCUCAGAUAUUUGUCCAGCUUCUCCCUAGCUAGUGCGGUACUGAAACCGCACAUGGUUUCAUGCAAGUCAUCAUCACUGAUCUAAUGACAAAUAGCAAGGUCAGUAAAGUCAUUGGCCAAAUAGACAGAAGGUUCAUAGACUAAGUUUCAGUAGAGGCCUCUUGACAGAAUUUAGUAACAGACUCACACAUGACCAUACACCUAUGUUCAGUGCACGGAAAUUUCCUAAAGCAGUUCAUAGAGAGAUACCAGCUUACUGCAGCAGUACAUACGCAUUGAAAAUUUACUACUGAACCAAGGCUGUUUUUGUUAGAUCUUCUUGUGAGAGGGCUCCACUCCCCUUCAGUUCCUCUAAUCUCAGAAAUAGCCAAGUUAUUACCGCUAGCAUAAAAAGUGCCAUCCAGAUUUCAUUUUUCAGAGAACCGACGGACCUCCACAGCCAAGAGAAAAUUUUCUGUUGAAUCUCUUGUCGAGGAACAAGGCUACAUUUACUUUGCAAAACUGAGAACACGACAAAGUGAGGCACUCGUAUCCUGCUAUUUUCCCCUUUCAGGGCCAUGCCAAACCAAUAGCUUCCUUGUCAAAUAGAUCAAAAGCAGAGUAUGAUGAAGUUGUGUAUCCCGCUCUUGCUUUGCUUCCUCUGCGCCUGCGCCUGCGCCUACUGGUCUUUUUUACCUCUCUCUUCCAUUCCAUGUUUGUAGGCGCUUCCCAUCCUGCUUUAAAAUUAUGUAUGUAAACGAGCUUCUAGAGCUACAGUUAAUAUAUGUAUCCACCUUGGCGCGACGCCAUACGCUCUAGUUGUCGGUCAAGACUGUCAUCAGACACAGCACUGAAAUAGUUGAAUAAGUAUUUGCCUUGCACCUGCUGAUAUUCACUAAGGAACACACUCAAUGCUCCUAGAUUAUUCCGGAACAGGAUCCAGUGCCUGCCUGCAGCACCUUCUUCCUAUGGUGGUAUCCAUUUCCCUGUAUCUUAAAAAUAUGAACCACAGCCGGCGACGGGCACAUGAUCAAACACCUUACCUGGUGCUGGUGUGCAUUGUCUCGUCAUCGGCCUACUCCACCUGGCCGCGUUCCAUUCCAAAUCGAACUACGAGCAUCGCCAUGGGUCCAUGCCUCCAUCCAUACGAGACAUGGUAUGAGUUAUCCUGGCCAAAUGGAGGGCAGACCCAGGCACCGGCAAUGUGUCGAACACCUGGUGAGCGUGAUCAGAUACAGCUAAACGCAGAGCAAUCCGUCCUCGCAUUCUUCAGCGGAACAGUUCUUAGCUUUGUCAGCGCGCGAUUGAGUCUUUUCUUGUCGGUUUUCGUGAUGAAUGAAACUUGGGGGCACGCCCCUGCAUCUGCAUUCGAAAUGGAAAAAUGCGCACGAGCCUGAGACUUACCUUAGGAAGGAAGGAUGAGCGCCAACGCUCGGCAGAUGCAGAUCAGC